GACGAACGCUGGCGGCGUGCUUAACACAUGCAAGUCGAACGGAAAGGCCCUGCUUUUGUGGGGUGCUCGAGUGGCGAACGGGUGAGUAACACGUGAGUAACCUGCCCUUGACUUUGGGAUAACUUCAGGAAACUGGGGCUAAUACCGGAUAGGAGCUCCUGCUGCAUGGUGGGGGUUGGAAAGUUUCGGCGGUUGGGGAUGGACUCGCGGCUUAUCAGCUUGUUGGUGGGGUAGUGGCUUACCAAGGCUUUGACGGGUAGCCGGCCUGAGAGGGUGACCGGCCACAUUGGGACUGAGGUACGGCCCAGACGCGUACGGGAGGCAGCAGUGGGGAAUAUUGCACAAUGGGCGGAAGCCUGAUGCAGCAACGCCGCGUGCGGGAUGACGGCCUUCGGGUUGUAAACCGCUUUCGCCGGUGACGAAGCGUGAGUGACGGUAAUGGGUAAAGAAGCACCGGCUAACUACGUG
rnacentral:rRNA from 1 species